rnacentral:rRNA from 1 species
GACGAACGCUGGCGGCGUGCCUAAUACAUGCAAGUCGAGCGGACGAUUCGAAAGCUUGCUUUUGAAUCGUUAGCGGCGGACGGGUGAGUAACACGUGGGCAACCUGCCCUGUAGACGGGGAUAACACCGAGAAAUCGGUGCUAAUACCGGAUAACACGAAAUGUCGCAUGACGUUUCGUUGAAAGGCGGCGCAAGCUGCCGCUACAGGAUGAGCCCGCGGCGCAUUAGCGAGUUGGUGAGGUAACGGCUCACCAAGGCGACGAUGCGUAGCCGACCUGAGAGGGUGAUCGGCCACACUGCGACUGAGACACGGCCCAGACUCCUACGGGAGGCAGCAGUAGGGAAUCUUCCGCAAUGGACGAAAGUCUGACGGAGCAACGCCGCGUGAGCGAAGAAGGCCUUCGGGUCGUAAAGCUCUGUUGUUAGGGAAGAACAAGUAACGUAGUAACUGACGUUACUAUGACGGUACCUAACGAGAAAGCCACGGCUAACUACGUG